GAGAGUAUAGCUUAGUGGUAGAGUGUAUGCUUAGCAUGCACAAGGUCCUGGUCUCAAUCCCCAGUACCUCCA
rnacentral:tRNA from 1 species